rnacentral:lncRNA from 1 species
GUCCUUCCUCCCCAGUGGCAGUGUGUACCCCAGGGAGCUGAAGGUGCCGUCCUUCCUCCCCAGCGGCAGAGUGUCCUGCAGGGAGCAGAGACCGUCAGUCUCGCACCCCAACCACAGGACAAAAUAAUGAAAGGGGAGACAGCUGGUCCCCCUCUCCACCAACAGAGAGAGUGUCAGGGAGAGGAGCCUGAUACCCCCUCUCCCCAGCGGCAGUUUACAGUUCAGAGAGAGGAGCUUGUUACACCCUCUCUCCAGCGGCAGCCUAACCCAGCAAGGGGAGAUGUGGAGCAGAGCAGUUGUAAAAUAGGAGAAAGAAAAGUUAUAGGCAGGGUAAAGAGAGAAUUGUUGUUGGCUAAUAAUAAUAAGUGGGCUUACUUUUGUACAUUGCCAUAAGGAAGGUAAAAGAAAAGCAUAAAAAAAGGGGAUAAAAAGGAAACUAUAUAAAAAAAGGGAAGAAAAAUAGAAACAGGGGAUAAAAUAAAGGAAGAGAGUACUUGUAAAAAAGGGAGAAAGAAGGAGCAGAGUACUUGUAGAAUAGAAAAAAGAAGGAGCAGAGUAUUUGUAGAAUAGGAGAAAGAAGGAGCAGAUUACUUGUAGAAUAGAAGAAAGAAGGAGCAGAGUAUUUGUAGAAUAGAAUAAAGAAGGAGCAGAGUACUUGUAGAAUAGUAGAAAGAAGGAACAGAUUACUUGUAGAAUAGAAGAAAGAAGGAGCAGAGUAUUUGUAGAAUAGAAUAAAGAAGGAGCAGAGUACUUGUAGAAUAGGAGAAAGAAGGAGCAGAUUACUUGUAGAAUAGAAGAAAGAAGGAGAAGAGUAUUUGUAGGAUAGAAUAAAGAAGGAGCAGAGUACUUGUAGAAUAGGAGAAAGAAGGAGCAGAUUACUUGUAGAAUAGAAGAAAGAAGGAGCAGAGUAUUUGUAGAAUAGGAGAAAGAAGGAGCAGAGUACUUAUAGAAUAGAAGAAAGAAGGAGCAGUGUAUUUGUAGAAUAAGAGAAAGAAGGAGUAGAGCACUUGUAAAAAGGAGAAAGAAGGAGCAGAGUACUUGUAGAAUAGGAGAAAGAAGGAGCAGAGUACUUGUAAAAUGGAGAAAUAAGGAGCAGAGUACUUGUAGAAUAGGAGAAAGAAGGAGCAGAGUUCUUGCAAAAAGGAGAAAGAAGGAGCAGAGUACUUGUAAAAAAGGAGAAAGAAGGAAAAUAAAAAAUAUAAAAAGGAAAAGGAGAGAAUUGUUGUUGGCUAAUAAUAAUAAGUGGGCUACCUUGCUCAGCCUUCCUGCUGGGCAUUGCUAUAAGAAAGGUAAAAAAAUAGAAAAAAGGAAAAAAAAAAGGUGGGGGGUAAUUGAGGAGGGAGAGGAGGGGAGCUGAUGCACGAAUGAGAAAUCAUAUUAUGAGCAAACAGAGAAGUCGUCUGAAUAUCACCGAAAGAGGAGACCUUGGUUUGUUCCUUACGAAAAUUGAACCAGAUAUCAAAUAUUUAGUCUCGCAGCAUCAACCUCAAGGAUCUCAUUAAUCACUUGUAAAGGUAAUUUCAAUUUACUUUGUUUUCUCAUUAAACUUUAUAAAGUUAAAAACAUUAUAAACAUGCAUAAAGUAGAAAUAAAAAGAUAAAUGUACGUAUACCCUCCUUUCUAAAAAAUAUUCUGCACUUGCGCGAAAAUUCGUGGGCGGUAAAGAAAUUUUUCCAUCAAGAAAGAUGCCUUAGUGGGAGGUAGGUAGAAAAAGGUUGACUACCCCUGCUGUACACAGACACAAACACACAUACACAGUCACAACAUACAAAAUCACACAAUUACACACACAGCCACAUGCAUACCUAGACAGUACACAAUACAAUAAACACACUGUCACACAUACACACAGUCAUAUAGAUGCCGUAUUAGUCACAUAUGCAGUCACACACACAUACACAUGGUCACACACACAGUCAGUCACAUACUUACAAGGUAUAAGUAACAACAGUCACCCAGAGUCACAUACACGCAGUCCUUGUUGUCUUGAUCACUGGGAGGAGGAAAGGAGGCCAUGGUCCCUGGUGAUUAGUAGCAGGGAAGCAGGCAUUCCUCUCUGUAGAGCGGCAGCUCUAAAAUUGUUGAGAACCUCUUAAACAGUGUAAAGGUUGUCUCUAUAAACUAAUUUGCAUAUUUUUUGUUAUGCAACACUUCUAUGUAAAAUAUUUGUCCUUGUUUCAGUUUGCUGUAAAUGUACAAUGAUAACCAAAGAAAAAAGUUAUUUGCGCUCUGUCCCAAAUCUCUAUGCACAUUUAAAUAUCUGGAGGUUUUUUAGUAUCACUCCAAUGGCCAUUUAAGUAUAAGCUUACUUGCGACACACACAUUUGUAUAUGUACAGUGAUGCAUACAACCUGUAUAUACAGUACAUUAUAGCCCUUGGCUUGUACAUUAAUAUGUAUGCAUACAAAUCCACAGACCAUAUCUCAUAAAUACAUAGACAUACACAAAUUCACAUACUUACACAGACACACGCCAUUACAUGCAUAGGCACACGUCAAUAUAGACAGUCACAUAGAUACAUACCGGGUCAUCUACUAAAGUGAAAAUUGUUCGGAAUUCAAAGUGUAAUCCAUAUUUAAGGCCAGAUGCCAACAUACCAGAGUAUUGCAGUAUGCAGUGAUACCUUUUUUAUUGGAUUAAUGUAAUAUUUGAAAGACAAGCUUUUGAGAGUUUUCAUCUUUUCCUCAGUUCUGAAACAAUACUCAGAAUCAUAUUUAAGGCCAAAAUAGUCAAACUGGAAGCAUAGCCGACUUUGAAGUUGUCCACGCAGGUUUCCUUGUGGCCCGGUACUUAUAUAGGAACCUGUAUGAAAACAACAAUAAAAGAGGGCCAUUCUCAAACAGACUUUAGUACCUCCAGUUUUUUGUCAAACUUAUUUUUAAGAUAUUCUUAUGCGUAAAUGAGUUUGUUAUGCCCCAUAACCAUAAACUUAUUUUGUCUUUUGAAUUUAAAAAAUCUCUCCAUGAACCAAAAGGUAACAGAAAUUCAUGUGGUUAUGGAAUAUGGAGUAUCCAUUUUAAAGUAACACUCCAAGUACUAUAACCAGUGCAGCAUGCCAGAGGUGCAUGUCUUAAUUCAUUGGAUGAGAGAGAUCAGCCGAUGCUCUCCACCACAGAACUGACCCCAACACUGCAGGGUUUAGCUUAAGAAAGCUAACGGAGGCAGGGAGCAGCACCCGACAGACCCCAGGUAAGAAGUCAAACUAUUCCAAAACAGUUUGACUACUUAUAAUGAGAGGACCCAUGGCAUGCCUGUCACCAUAAUCACUGCAGUGUGCUAUAGUGGUUAUGGUGUUUGUAGUGUUCUUUUCAUUUAUACUAUGUAUGACCUACUUAAUUUCUUAAUACAUGCACAAUUUGUGUUAGCGUAAGGACUUGUUAAGCAAAUCUUACCCUAUAUCAUUUUAAUCUAAGAUACUGCUGUACUGAUUCUGUAAGGUGCUGUUAUAUAUGAUCCAUCAAUGUUUCAUAUAACGUAAUGGCAAAUAAUAUGUUUCUCCCCUGGAUACUUUAGCAAGAAAUAAACCAUUACUUUGAUUAAUCUGAAAUCCAUGAAAUAAUACUAUACUAUUAUUGUGAGACUCAUGUAGGGUGUAGAAAUGGAUAUGUAAGAGUAUAAGGAAGUUGACUGCUGACUAAUAUAUUUUGUGGCCAUGAAGUCCCAUUGAUCAUAGAGGUGUGCAAUCUGCUUGAGAAGCAUAUAAAAGGAGAGAAUCUUCUUGAUCUUCAUGCAGAAUUUCUUUCACGCACAUUUCUUUAUUAGCUAUACAUGUCUGUUCUGUUGUUAUAAUAGGAAUAUUGCUGUUUUAUAUACUUAGUGCAGGUAGGAUAGAAAACUUGCAAGUAUUACCAUCAGUGAUGUCCCGAACGGUUCGCUGGCAAAUAGUUCCUGGCGAACAUCGAUUGUUCGCGUUCGCCACUGAUGGUGAACAUAUGCGCUGUUCGGUCCGUCCCCUAUUCGUCAUCAUUGAGUAAAUUUUGACCCUGUACUUCACAGUCAGCAGACACAUUCCAGCCAAUCAGCAGCAGACCCUCCCUCCCAGCCCCUCCACCUCCUGGACAGCAUCCAUUUUACAUUCAUUGUGAAGCUGCAUUCUUAGUGAGAGGAGGGACAGUGUAGCUGCUGCUGAUUUGAUAGGGAAAUUGAUAGGCUAGUGUAUUCAGUGUCCACUACAGUCCUGAAGGACUCAUCUGAUCUCUGCUGUAAGGCUGUCUAGCCCUUUUUAGGGCUAGAACAUCAGUCUGCUUUUUUUUUCUGUGUAAUGUAAUUGCAGUUGCCUGCCUGCCAGCCUGUGUGUCAGGCUCACAGCAUAUACAGUGCCCACUUGCCCAUGCUUGCAUUUAAAAAAAAAAAAAAAAACUUUUUUGACUGUAAUAUAAUAGCAGUCACUUUCCUUCACUAGUGUGCGUUUCAGGGCCUGCCCAGUGCCACCACUCACUCACUGGUGUCACAAUAGCUUGCAUUUAAAAAAAACAAAAAACACUUUUUUGACUGUAAUAUAAUAGCAGUCAGUUUCCUUCACUAGUGUGCAUUUCAGCCAUUAUUUCCAGAGGAUGUAGAUAACAGGGAUAUGUCUCAGUCAGGCAGCAUUACACACAUGGACGUACGGUGUGAUGAUGAUGAUGUUGCACCCGCUGCUGCUUCCUUUGCUGAGUUGUCAGAUACAAGUUGAUGAUAACGAUGCAUCGGUGGAUGUCACGUGGGUGCCCGCUAGAAGAGAAGAAGAACAGGGGGAAAGUUCAGAUGGGGAGACAGAGAGGAGGAGGAGGAGACGAGUUGGAAGCUGGGGGAGGUCGUCACAAGGAGCUAGUAGCACAGUCAGACAGCAUGCAUCGGCACCCGGGGUCAGCCAGACAGCACGCCAAUCAACGCAUGCUGUGUCCACCAUCAGAAUGUCGUCAUUGAAGAGCUCAGCAGUGUGGAAUUUUUUUUGUGUGUCUGCCUCUGACAACAGCGAUGCCAUUUGCAACCUGUGCCAAAAGAAACUGAGUCAUGGGAAGUCCAACACCCACCUAGGUACAACUGCUUUGCGAAGGCACAUGAUCGCACAUCACAAACGCCUAUGGGAUCAACACAUGAGUACAAGCAGCACACAAACUCAAAGCCGCCAUCCUCCUCCUGGUCCAGCAUCUUCAGCCACGUUAACCACUGCUGUCCUCCUUGCCCCCUCUCAACCAUCCGCCCCUCCGUCUCUCGCCUUGAGCAGUUCCUGCUCAUCUGCCCACAGUCAGGUGUCUGUCAAGGACAUGUUUGAGCGUAAGAAGCCAAUGUCACAAAGUCACCCACUUGCCCGGCGUCUGACAGCUGGCUUGACUGAACUCUUAGCCCGCCAGCUUUUACCAUACAAGCUGGUGGAGUCUGAGGCGUUCAAAAAAUUUGUAGCUAUUGGGACACCACAGUGGAAGGUACCCGGACUAAAUUUCUUUGCACAAAAGGCAAUCCGCAAACUGUACUCGAUUGUGCAAAAGGAAGUAAUGGCAUGUCUUGCACACAGUGUUGGGGCAAGGGUCCAUCUGACCACUGAUACCUGGUCUGCAAAGCAUGGUCAGGGAAGGUAUAUCACCUACACUGCGCAUUGGGUAAACCUGCUGACAGCUGCCAAGCAUGGAAUGCGUGGCUCUGCAGAGGAGUUGGUGACACCGCCACGACUUGCACGCAGGCCUGCUGCCACCUCCUCUACUCCUCCUACUCCAUCCUCUUCCAAAACCUCCUUUGCUUAGUCCUCUUCUGCUGCUGCGUCUUGCUCCACAUCAACGGCACCCCCCCAGCUCCCCAGGUACUAUUCCACAUCCCGGAUACGGCAGUGUCAUGCCGUCUUGGGGUUGACUUGCCUGAAAGCAGAGAGUCACACCAGACCAGCACUCCUGUCCGCCCUGAACGCACAGGUGGAUCAGUGGCUGACUCCGCACCAACUGGAGAUCGGCAAAGUGGUUCCUGACAACAGAAGAAAUUUGUUGGCAGCAUUGCAUUUGGGCAAGUUGACACAUGUGCCAUGCAUGGCACAUUUGUGUAAUCUGAUCGUACAACGCUUUGUGCAUAAGUACCCAGGCUUACAGGACGUCCUGAAGCAGGCCAGGAAGGUGUGUGGCCAUUUCAGGCGUUCCUACAUGGCCAUGGCGCUCUUUUCAGAUAUCCAGCGGCGAAAAAACAUGCCAGUGAGGCGCUUGAUUUGCGACAGCCCGACACGUUGGAAUUCAACACUCCUAAUGUUCAACCACCUGCUCCAACAAGAAAAAGCCGUUAACGAGUAUUUGUAUGACCGGGGUGCUAGGACAGCCUCUGCGGAGCUAGGAAUUUUUUUGCCAUGUUACUGGACGCUCAUGCGCAAUGCCUGUAGGCUCAUGCGUACUUUUGAGGAGGUGACAAACCUAGUCAGUCGCACAGAAGGCACCAUCAGCGACAUCAUACCAUUUGUUUUCUUCCUGGAGCGUGCCCUGCAAAGAGUGCUGGAUCAGGCCGUAAAUGAGUGUGAAGAGGAAGAGUUGUGGUCACCAUCACCACCAGAAACAGCCUUAUCAGCAUCGCUUGCUGGACCUGCGGCAACGCUGGAAGAGGAUUGUGAGGAAGAGGAGUCAGAGGAGGAAUGUGGCUUUGAGGAGGAGGAGGAAGACCAACCACAACAGGCAUCCCAGGGUGCUCGUUGUCACCUAUCUGGUACCCGUGGUGUUGUACGUGGCUGGGGGGAAGAACAUAUCUUCAGUGAGAUCACUGAGGAUGAGGAACAGGACAUGAGCAGCUCGGCAUCCAACCUUGUGCAAAUGGGGUCUUUCAUGCUGUCGUGCCUGUUGAGGGACAUUCGUAUAAAAAGGCUGAAGGAGAACGACCUGUACUGGGUGUCCACGCUACUAGACCCCCGGUAUAAGCAGAAAGUGCCUGAAAUGUUACCGAAUUACGGCAAGUCGGAAAGGAUGCAGCAGUUCCAAAAUCAAUUAAAAAGUAUGCUUUACACAGCGUAUAAGGGCGAUGUCACAGCACAACGGGAAUCUAACAGGGGAAGAGGUGAAAGUAAUCCUCCUCCUCCCACGACCACGCCAGCAAGGAUAGGAUGCAUUACAGACAUGUUGUUGAUGGAGGACAUGCGGAGCUUUUUAAGUCCUAUGCAUCGCCACAGCCCUUCGGGGUCCACCCUCAGAGAACGACUCGACCAACAGGUAGCAGACUACCUCGCCUUAACUGCAGAUAUCGACACUCUGAGGAGCGAUGAACCCCUUGACUACUGGGUGUGCAGGCUUGACCUGUGGCCUGAGCUAUCCCAAUUUGCGAUAGAACUUCUGGCCUGCCCCGCUUCAAGUGUCCUGUCAGAAAGGACCUUCAGUGCAGCAGGAGGUAUUGUCACUGGAAGAGAAGUCGCCUAGGUCAAAAAAGUCUAGAUUACCUCACCUUUAUUAAGAUGAAUGAGGGAUGGAUCCCGAAGGGACUGACAGUGGGCGAUACAUUCGACUAAAAAAGGCCUGAUGAGGGGGACGUAACAGGGUGUCGCGGCUGCCGGCCCGCCGCGUGAUAUUUAAAUCCCUAGCUCACCCCAGUACCUUGCCCUGUCGUGUUUCCUGUUCCUGGUUUCCUGAGAUUGCUUUAUCAUUGUGAAUCUGAUUUCCUGGUAUCCUGAUCUUGGCUUUUCCCUGGUUAUUCUGAAUUCUGGUUUCCCUGACUUGGCUUGUGUAAACGGUAUUGUGUAUUUUCUGGCUUCCUUGACCUCGGCCUUCACUUUGACCAUUCUCUGUCUCUAGCACAUUAGUCCGGCCAUUCUAAGGUCCGGUUUACGCUCUGUCCUUUUAUUUUCCUUUUCUUGCCUAUGUAUAUGUUUACAUAGUUUCUGCGUGCUGGACCACACUAGUAGUCGUGACAUUGGGAUUAAACUGAUAAGAAUAGUACUACUUAACACACCACUCCUAUCUGGUGGCACAUUAGAUUGCACGCGCAGUGCCCCAAAUUUGAAGUAGGAGGACCGACCAAGCAUCUUUUUCCAUCUCCCGGUUCCUAAAAUCGAUGCCAUAUACACGUCCCCUGAUAGGGGACGUAACAGGGAUUAAACUGAUAGGAAUAAUACUACUUAACACACCUUAUAAUAACGCAGAGAGAGGCAACGCAGUGAGAGGAGUCUGAAGAAGAGGAGUCAGAGGAGGAAGGUGGCUUUGAGGAGGUGGAAGACCAAACACAGCAGGCGUCCCAGGGGGCUUGUUGUCACCCUUUGGGGGACCUUGGUGUUGUAUGUGGCUGGGUGGAGGAAGAGACCUUCAAUGACAUCAGUGAGGACAAGGAACGGGACAUGGCUAGCUUGGUAUCCAACCUUGUGCAAAUGGGGAGUUUGCGGUUGUGCAAAUGGACUGUUUGCGUUAAACGGGGAGUUUGGUCUGUCACUGUGAAGCGGGCGUAACCCUUACACUACCUGAUCGAUACAACAUCAUACCUGAUGUUUUAAAGCACGUUAUUCCAAACAAUUUAGGAAUGUUAGGUGAUUUAUGCCCUUUGUGGAUUAAAACCAGACUCUGCAUCAACUAUGUAAUUUUCCAUGGGAGUUUUGCCAUGGAUCCCGGCAUGCCACAGUCCAGGUGUUAGUCCCCUUGAAACAACUUUUCCAUCACUAUUGUGGCCAGAAAGAGUCCCUGUGGGUUUUAAAAUUCGCCUGCCUAUUGAAGUCUAUGGCGGUUCGCCCCGUUCGCGAACAUUUGCAGAAGUUCGCGUUCGCUGGUCGCGAACCGAAAAUUUUAUGUUCGCGACAUCACUAAUUACCAUUUAUUUAAAUGUUUGCACAUUGCUUUCUAUGAGAAGGUCCAGAGGUCCAUGGUCUUACCAGCAGUGAUUGUUGUAUGUACAAUGAAUUACUAAAAGCAAAAACCUCAAUAAUGAAAGUAUGCAGCGUAUUAUACAGUAAAGGCACUGGCAUCAGACUGAGGUUUGCAUGUGUCUCUGAAAUACAACUUCUAUAAUUACACUAUAUAUCAACCUAAUAGGGAAAAACAAUGCACAACGUAGUUCAUGCUACAGGAAAAAUGUCUGGUACUCUGGAAUACUUUGUGCAGAAUAAACACAAUCCUCAUCAUUUAAGUUUUAUUAAGAGAGAGAUCUAUCAAGAUUAGCUGUAAGCAUUUAUUAGUAUCAAGCAACAUCACAUAUUCAUAUGCUGAGCUGGCAGUCAAACCACAAACAUAAUUUAAGUCUGUGCCAGUUGAUAUCCUGCUAAUGGUCUCUCUGAGAUCAAGGGAGGUUAGAUUUCUGAUAGUCGAGAUAACCUACAUUGCACAUUGACAGUGCAGGUUAGAAGAUGGUCAGACAGAGGGAAAGCUGUUCUAACGGAUCGCCUGGCACCCCGACUGGGUGCCUCCGUUGAUGCUCCUAGUGCUUCCCGAGGGCUCCAAGCACUUCUCCAGACACCAUAAGCACUGCAGAUCAAACCUCUCUUCCUUCAGAGAGCGAAGCUGGAACAAGCUCUUAAAAUAGCUUAGUGAUCAUAGCUAGGGGAGUAUUGUGGCGAAACCGGCCUCGCCACGUGUCCUUGGAGGGGGCUGCUUGCCCGCCUCUUGCCUUUGGACUAUGGACCAGACUUUAUGUGAAGUUAUUAACCCAGAUAGCUAUGCCAUGGAGCCCAUUCGUGUAGUUAAAGACUUCGGCUCCAUGGCAAUUGAACUGUGUGAAUAGGAUCUGAGCGCUAUUCGGUAGUUUUGUGCGCUCAGAUCCCAGCUAUCUGGGGAUAUGUGACAUGUCUGUGUUUUAUGUAUAAAAUGUGACUUUAUGUAUUUUAAAGUGUUUUGUGUCUUUUUGCAACCAUGUGCUUAAUGGAGUCUUGUGUCUGUCCUGGGAGAUAAUUGAAUUACUCUCCAGGAUAGAAGACUCUGAAACUGGUUUGGGCCGGAAAGCCAUGCUUCAUUUAGUCACAAAGGACUUUCCCUUAACUUUUGAACCCCUGGUCUGAUUCAUGCCAUUUUUUAAUAUGUUGUUCCCAUGAAUGGAUUGAUCAUGAAAAUGUACGUUUUAUGUAUGUACGAUGUUUACUCACAAAGUUAUAAAAAUGUACAAAAAGUAACUUUUCAGCUUGGAGAUAAUUGAGUAGAUACAGUAAUUGACUCAAUUAUCUCCUAAGCAGAGGGGAGGAAUAUGCUGGGUGUGUUUCUAUUGUCCCAUUGUGUCUGAUUGGCUGCUGUACUUGCAUUGUAUGUGUUGUAAUGUGUUUAUUGGUGGUUCUGCAAAACCCUGUGGGCAGUACUAUGUUUUGUGGAUUGUAAUAAAAACCAGGCUGGGUGUGCCAGCACUAGAGUUCCUGUUUUAACCCUCAAAGUGAAGUGUUGUCUCAUUAUUGGGGGAAGGAUUUAUUGUAUGCUGUUCCAGUUUGACUGCUAGGAGAGUAAACCUAUUCGUAUGGUUCCUAUUCAACUGUCUACAGCAUUCAUAUGCUUGGGAGCAUUCACAUGCUCCUACGGUUCGGUGAUUGUGGUGUCUGCCAGAGUGCUUGGAGUCCUCAGGAAGCGCUAGGAGCAUCCUUCAACGGAGGUACCCAGUCGGGGUGCCAGGUGAUCCGUUACAAGUAUGUAGAGUAUAGCAAUCCCCCAGUGUAAAUGCAGCCUUUUCCCCCACACAUGAGAUGAAGCUCUAUGUUGAGGGUAAAACAGGAACUCAGCAGUCUGAGGGUUUAUUGGCACUUAUAUGCAACUUUUUACACAUGGUUUUGUGGCACAGCCAAUCAAACACGUACAAUUCAGUUAAACACUCCCAUUCAUUCCAGCAAAAUCCUCCCCUCUGCCUGUGAUAUAAUUACUGUACACAAUGGGUUAACAUAAUUAUCACAGGCAGGAAAAUACACAGUUUUAUACAAUAUUCAUAACUCACAAAAUAUACAUACAAUAUCCAUAAAUAUUACAUAUUAUUAAUUAGCAUACUUCAAAUAUACACAUAUCCAAAAAUCAGACAAUUCCCUCCAGUGGUUAAAAAGUUAGCCUUAGUCCUUUUGGACCUUUUUGACCGACUAUUUUCUCCUCUAUCCUGGAGAUAAUUGGCUUAAGUAACUGUAGUAAACUCAAUUAUAUCCAGGUACAGAAAAUAUCACCAAGUUACAACUGCAACAAAACACAUUAAAAUACAUAUAUUCUAAUAUUCUAUAGAACUGAACCCCCUGCAUUUGGAUCUGUAUAGCCGAACAGCACUCAGAUCCCACAAACACAGUCAAAUCGCCAUGGGGUUAAACAAUAGCAAGGGCUGAUGAGAGAUUGAGGAGGGACAAGGCAGCCAGUUUCAACUGGUAUGGCAGUGUCCCUGGGACAACGCCCUGCUGGAGAACAAUGGGACAGGAAACGGGGAAGGGGAAGAGGUACACCUUCCCAUGGAUUCAAAGGGGCAGAAAAAGUGUCCCAAAAUCCAAUAAGCCCAAACAGACUUUUUAAAUAGCAAUACUUCACUAGGCAAGAGACUGGCAAUUAAUCCUCCCCAGGCACAAGUGGCGAAGGGCACUUUGUCACAGCUGUGUUAGAGAAGUUAAAGACAGAGCAAAGAUUGGAAAAGGUCAAUGUGUGUAGGGAGAGUAAGGCUAAAAGAGUUGUGAUAGAAAUCUAGAUGUAAUUGAGUUGUUAGAUUGGUUAGCAAGGUUGUUGAAGUCACCAAAGAUGAGAGGAAUAAUGUCAAAGGAGAAAACAUAGGUAAACUAAGCUGAAACAUUAUCAAGAAAGAGUUGAGGAGAGACUGGAGGGCAGUGGGUAACAACAACAAAGGCAGAGAGAGCUUUGAAGAGAUCGAUCGAGUGGACUUCAAAAGAUGAAAAUUCUAAAGAAGGAAAAGGGGGCAAAGGACGGAAGGAACAAUAACUGGAGAGAAAAAAAACACACAGUACCACCCUUCAUAUCAUAUGCAGGGCCAGGUAUUGGGGUGUAUGCAUGCUGUCAGUUUGUGGCACUCUCCAGCAGUAACUCAUAUCGCCAACUAGUGUUAUAUUAGCUAUUCCUCUAAUGGCUGGUCUCCCAGGAAAGGCAUGCCCAGCUCCAGUUGUUCCCAUCGGCGCUGGUUGGUGGUCAGGAGGUCCUCACUCCGGAAGGGUCGAAUUUCGUCAAGGUCAUCCUUCCAGAUAUCGGUUCGAAGCGCCACCCUUCGAAUGCUUCUCUCUCUACUGGUAUAGGGUAAUCAGCACUGCACAUAAUCCCCUUGAAACUGCUGCUGGAGCUUUGUUUCAAAGUAGGAUACUGCCUGACGGUACGUGUCUUCCAUAUACCCACUUCCCGUAGGUAGGUGUCACCAAAGAUGCUCUGGUUUCCCAACUCACUAGGAAGCCAUCCCACUGCUUGCCACCAAUUGUAGUGGAGCUUCUUGUUCCCCGGCUGGGUAACUCCACCCAGGAUCGCAUCCUAGCUGGAACCGGGGAAAACUGACGCUCUUCUGUCCUAGUCUCUGCAGCUUGACUGGGGUCCUUCUGGGGCUAUUCCAGGCAGGUAUCCACCUCUGCUUGCAAUGUGAUUUCUAUUGCCUUUACAAAGGCACUUGCAGCUCUCAGGUCUAGUUCUCUUGAUUUAUCCUAGGGCUAGAGUGAUCAUGCAGCCAGCCAACAGGUACUACAACUCUGUAGCCUGGAUCCCUAAAAAUGAACAUAGGACACGUAAUGGAACUGACAUGCAAAAGUUCAUUUUUAUUUCUUGGGACUGGCCCAAAUGCUCCUUACAUGUAACUUAUGGUGACAAUUCAAUAAAAUUACAAAUAAUAAAAACAUAUCAGAAAACAUACAGGGAAUUAUAACAACACAAUAACAUAUCUUCUAAGGGGUGGGGAAAUCAAUAACCAACACAAACUAUCUUUCCUUCCUGCAAAAUUAGCAAUAUGCAAAUCUACCUGAAUAUGCAAAUUACCUAGCCUUGCUAUUCAUGUAGUGCACAUUGCUGUUGCUACCAACAGAGGGCACUUUACAGGCUCCAUAGCCAAAUCCAAUAGUUGGUAACAAGCAUCAGCAGGACAGGAGAGCACACAAAACAAUUAACAAUAUACAAACAAAUUAUGAACACCCUGCACCUAUAAUGAGUACAGGGUGACUUAGACAUAGGAAAAAUGUAGGAACCUUUGUAAAGUGUCCUUCUGCGCCCAGUAAUGGUGAUUACCAUCACAGAGACCUCUUGUUCAGAGACUGGGGGAAUGGAGUUAUGAGUGGAGUGGUUAAGAUGUAACAUACUUGAAGCUGAGUUUUAGUGGGGGAGAGUGGAGAUUUCUUUCCUAAUUUGGUUAAUAUUGCCAUUAAAGUGAUGUGCAAAAUUACUAGCUGUUAGGAUAAUUAAUGGUGGGAUUUCAGUGGCAUGAAGAAUGCAGUUAAAGUUAUGAAAUAUGCAUUUGGGAUGAGUGGUAAAGUACUUUUGUCUUCGCAAAGGAGAGGAUGUAAGUAGGCUCCCAAUAUAUGCAACCCCCACCUAACUUGACUAGUUAACAUGUCCUCCCAUUUAAAAACCUUCUUCUCUAAUACAUGUCUUACUAUCCCUUUCCCAUAUGUAUGUAUUUCAAGGCGGACUAUCAGACCUACAUUAACUUAUCAGAUAUGGCUUAUUCAAACUGAUAUCCAGCACCUCACAUAUAAUAUCAUUCCGAUGUGACCUUGAUUUGCUAAUUCACUGUAGCUUUGUUAUGUAGAACUUGUCAUUUUUUUUUUCUUUUUUAAGUUUCAUGUAUACUAAAUUCACUGUGCAGUACAAAUGGCUGGAAUGGUCAGUUAUGGAAGAGUUACAUUUUAAAAUAGCAUUCUAUGAUGCAUCAAAUCAAUCAGGAAAAAAAAUACUAGGUGGUAUGAUGAAUAUAUUCUUGGUGCUGUUGAUUUAUUAUCAUCCUUGCCAUCUAUGAGCAAUUAUCCUUCAGCUGCAGAUGACACUGUCUCUAAUGUACACUGAGCAGAAAAGUACAUUUUAUAAUGAGCUAUCAGGUUACAGAGCUUUUAACAAAGUGCAAUAAGACACUUACUGUGAAAAAUGCUAUUCCUGCAAACAGUAUAAUUAUCUAUAUACCACAUAUUAGCAUAUUAUUGUAUUACAAUUGUAGCGGAGAGCUGGUAUUACACAGCCUAUCUCCACUUUAGAUCCCAGUACGGCUCAGGAACAAGUAUGAUAAAUCCACAGAGUAAUAUUUCCAGCAGGCAAAAAGACUCCAACAAUAUCCCAAUCACAAUCCCAAUGACUGGAUGACACACAGCAUCAGGAGCAGAACUAAACUUUUAUUCACAGCAGUUCCUCAUAAAGGAUUCUCCCAUGCAAGGGAGGGAUUUCCAGUAAUUAUAACAGUAACCAAUAAUACAGUGGUUUCCUCCCAUACCUUCCCUCCCCUCAGAGUGACACUUAAUCCACUUAAUCCUGGUACCUUUUUCCCUGUUUCCUGGAUGUACCACAAAACUGUGGGGUACAAGGAUCUAAGUGGCAUCCCCUGGUAGCUCUGGUCUUGGUGACCAACAUACUCAAAAUUCACCCAGAUCAGACCAGGGGUUCGGGAGUUAUGGGGAAUAAACGAUUUGACCGACCGCACACGAAUAUGUAGCCAAAAAGAGUUCCAUGUGGUUUGGCCUUGCUGUCGGUCUACCUUCGGGAGGUAAAACAGUUAUUAAUCUUUGCCAUCCAUAGCUAAUACAGCGUUCGCAUGAACCCCGUUGUUCGUUAGAUUGAAUUCACCGAACGAGGGGUUGAUUGGCCCCUCUGUUCGUGAGUUCUGGAGCUCUGGAGGUCUCAGCAGUGUUCGGGUAAUUGAGUGUCCGAUUUGAGUUCCAGACACUCGACGACCAAACACCGCUGAGAGUUCGUGCGUAAGAUGGCCGCCGCCACGUGUUCGCCUACCGAAUGGCGGCCACCCAGAUAUGGCAAUAUAACACUGAUUAACUGUAGUUAGAGGAGUGUGAAAGCCUUAAUGAGGCGCACACUUCUCUCUGAGGUGGUCUAUUGAUUUGGUAGUUUCCAUUCGUAUGAAAUAUGAAGGAAACUACCGAACCAACAUACGAAUACACAUACAAUUUUCAAUUAUACAGUCAGUUAAACACACGAACAGUCUUUUUAAACAUAUUCCUGGUGGACAGUCCCAUGCCAUCCCCUACAACAAUAUUAUUAACGCUGGAAAUUUUAUUCUUAAUAGUUAGAUUUGAUAUCGAAACAAGAUAAUAAGGUGCAUAUUAUCCUAUUCCUGAUUGUUGCAUUUUGUUUCUGAACAAAAUACUACAUAGCAUAUGGCUCUUACAUGUCUGAAUCUUGUGUUUGUUUAUUCAUUGCGCCUAAUGGCAUGAAAGAGGAGCAAGUUUUUUUUUUACUAAGACCCUAUAGGCCAAUUGGUAGAUAAUUGCAUGGGAGCUCUAGUUUUAGGCAUUGGAUCUCACAAACACACAAGGGACUGUAUAAAGUAAAUGAACAGGGAAUGCAGUCUGUGUUUGUUUGUAAGGGGUUCUAGUGUAGGUGUGAUUAUAGAUUGUAUUGUGUGUGUUUGUACUGUGUCUAGAUCAGUGGUAGUCAACCUUUUUCUACCUACAGCCCACUAAUGCAACUUUGUUGAUGGAAAAAUUUCCUUACCGCUCACCAGUUUUCGAGCAAAUGCAGAAUAUUUUUUUAGAAAGGAGGGUGUUUAAAAAAAAAAAAAAUGUACGCACAUUAAUCUUUUUAUUUCUACUUUAUGCAUGUUUAUAAUGUUUUUAACUAAAUUUAAAUUACCUUUACUUUGAUUAAUGAGAUCCUUGAGGCUGAUGCUGCGGGACUAAAUAUUUGUUAUCUGGUUUGAAUUUUGUAAGGUACAAAUGAAGGUCUCCUCUUUCGGUGAUAUUCAGACGAUUUCUCUGUUUGCUCAUAAUAUGAUUUCUCAUCUGUGCAUCAGCUCCGCUCCUCUCCCUCCUCAAUUCCCCUCCCCACCUUUUUUCCCUUUUUUCUAUUUUUUAACCUUCCUUAUAGCAAUGCCCAGUAGGAAGACUGAGCCACUUACUAUUAUUAGCCAACAACAAUUCUCUCCUUUUCCUUCUUCCUCCUUUUUACAAGUACUCUGCUCCUUCUUUCUCCUAUUCUACAAGUACUCUGCUCCUUCUUUCUCCUUUUUACAAGUACUCUGCUCUUUCUUUCUCCUAUUCUACAAAUACUCUGCUCCUUCUUUCUUCUAUUUUAAGUACUCUGCUCACAGACAAACACAUACACACACUCACACAUACACUUACAGACACACACACUCACAGACAAACACACUCACACACACUUACAGACACACACAAACUCACAGAGAAACACAUACACACACAAACAUACACACACUCACACAUACACACAUACUUACAGACACACACACAUACACACACUCACACAUACACUUACAGACGCACAAACACUCACAGACAAACACACUCACACAUACACUUACAGACACACACACAUAUACUUACAGACACACACACGUACACACUCACAAAUACACUUACAGACACACAAAUUAUUAAUAUUAAAUGUCCACCCAGCCUCCCUAACCUGGAGAGCUGGUGUGGAUCUGUCCCUGGGGUCUAGUGGGGCUUCACUUCGGCAGGCGGCAGAGUUCUAACCCGAGGCGGCGAGGGAGCUCUAACCUCUCUGCUCUGCUCCCUCCCGGGAGGAUCAGAAGGUGGCCUGGCAGGAGGGAGCGCUUCCCUCCUGCUGGUCACUGAAAUCUUGCGCCCCCAAGCCACUCGCACCCGCCCACUCUAAAAAGGAGAAAUCCUCUCACAAAGAGGAUUUAGCUGCCGAAAUCCCUACCUCCAACUAGUGGGCGGUAGGGACCAGGUUGAUGACUCAUGGUCUAGAUAAUGUGUGUGUCUCGGGGCAAUAUUGAGUUUGUGUAUGUGUGUGUGUGAGUGUGUGUGGAGACUGUAGCAUGUAUAUUCAUUGGGACUGUAGUGUAUGUAUUUGUAGGUGAUGUAGUUUAGAGAAUGUAGUGCAUGUGAGUGGAUAAAGACUGAAGUAUAUGUGUGUAGCCAUAUAGUAUGGGUUUGUGCAGGUCUAGGGGCUGUUGAGGGGGUGUGUUUAGGCACUGUAGUGUGUAUGUGUUUUGUGUGUGUGUUUGGAGGUUAUUGGAAUGUGUGUGCAUAGUAGAUAUAGUGUAAUGUGUCUAUUUAUAGAGAACAGUAGAGAGAGUGUGUGUGUCUAGCAACUGUAGUGUGUGUCUGUGUGUCAUAAAGAAAAUGUAGCGUGUGUAAGGAUGUAGAGACUUUCGAUUGACUAGGGGUGGGGUAGCAAUUUUUAUUUAUUUUUUAAUAUUAAAUAAAUUAAAAGGUAUUCUUCUUUCCAUCUUCAUUAUCAUGGGCCAGGGAGAGGGGAUAUCCAGGUCCCAGACUAUAAAAAUUAUUCUAGAGAGCUCCGACAACCUAAGAAUCAGAGCAUUGCCAUGGUAAUGGCCAAAUCUUGUGAGAGGAAUACUCUCAGUCUAAAUGUGGCAGAGGUGAAGAAUAGAGUUUCCCUGUACCUCCACUUGUCAAUUUAGCUUGGACUGGAAUGAAGAGGGUGAUCUCUUUGGCCCAUGAAGGCACAUGGUGGUGGCACCUUCUGCCAGUGCCUUGGUGACGCUGGGUGCUUUGCACCCCUUGCACCACAGAGAGCGUGACUCUGGUCCUUGGAACUCUGCAAAAGUGACUCUGGUCCUUGGAACUCUGCAAAAUGGAAGACGCUCAACUGGACUGUAGUUCUUACAUCAACUAAUUAUACAAUGUAUCUGUCAUGAUAGUUUUUCCAGUUCCUGUUGUUUCAGUUGCAUUUCUUAUAAACUCAAAAUAGUGCUUAGCAUCUGGUAUUUUGAUUAAUUAUCCGAUUUGUAAGUAUAAUAAAAGUAAUGCAAAAUUUGAGCAUGUCAGGACUAGCCUAAUAUAAGGGUAGAAAGGACAGAAGCACAUACAGGUCAGAGUGGCCCCAGAGACAGGGAGGUAAAGAGGGAGGUAAAGAGUUAACUUUUAACAGGGCAUGGUAAAAAAGAACAGAGGAGCACCUGGGUUACAGCUGACCUCAUUCAAAUGUACCAGUUUAGAGAUUCACUGUGGUCAAAGUUCAAGCGUACUGGCUCCAUGAACGAUCACUGUACUUACAGACAAUUGUGAAAUGCAUGUACAAAACAAACAAAAAUGACAAAGGCCCAAUAUUUCAGUGAAAAUUUGAACAACCUAUCAAACCCAAGAAAUGUCUGGAAAAUCAGCAUACAAACCCCCACAAUCCACUCCCAACCAGUGGCGGCUCAAGACUUUGUGAGGCCUUAGGCGAAAUUCAAACAUGAGGUCCCCACUAACACCCAAAGUGGAAAAAAAAUAGGGUUUGCAUUGUGUGUAUAAGGUGCUGUAGUUGUAUUAAAGGACAAGCUUGCAGCCCUGGAUAAAAAGAGCUAGUCUCUGUAUUCAUUGUUCAGAGGCUUGCAGUGCCGCGGCUCCCUGUGCCGCUGUGUUGUGAGCACUCCGACUGUAGUAAUGGCAUAAUUUUGAAAACAAAAUUAUUUGCAAUAAACAAAUUUUUAGCAAUUAUGCUAAUCAUUUACACACGUGAGUAUGAUUACGUAGCCUUGCAGUCGUGUAUACAUUACUGCCAUUGUGUGUAUUUCUGAGUGUGUCUGGCAGUGUCUACCUGUGUAUGUGCAUGAAAGUGUGUGUCUGACCGAGAGUAUCCUUGCAUGUGAAUGUAUGUCUUUAUGAGUAUGUAUCUCGGACUGUAUAUGUGUGGGGUAGCUGCUUGCAGUGUGUGGUGUUUAUGAGGGCUGCCUGCGACAUUUGUGCAUGUGUGUAUGAUGAAUGUCUUCAGUUUGUGACUGUAACAAGGUGAGUAAAGGGGUAACUGUGGUAGGGUGAGUGUGACAGGAUGAGGGGGGUAAAUGGGGUAAAGGAGACAGGGUCGGGGGGGUGAGUGUGACAGAAUGAGGGAGGGUGAGAAUGAUAGGGGGGGUAGUCAGCAUGCACCUCAGAUCUGUGCUUAGCAGACCUGGGUAAUGUGACAGAUCAUUGAUAUAAUGUAAAUCGGAAAUUGUAACAGUCUGGAAGCAAUGUAGGCACUACAAGACUUGUACAAAACAUGGAUAAGGACUAGCGUUUAAAGAUGAAUAUAUGGUAUAAAAACGUGUGUUAAAUCUCUGUAAAUAAUGAGCAGCUAAACAUUCAUGAGACUUGUUACAAUAUCACCAACAAGAUAUACAAAAAAAAUUAAAAUAAUGUAGCGCUUAAAUAAUGAAUAAAUUAUCACCUUUUAGUUUAAAUUAGGAGGAAAUUCCCACCAUAUCAUCAAUUAUAUCGAUAUCUAUAAGAGACAAUCAAAUAUAGUGUAGAUUGUACAAGGAUAAAAAAAUCUACUUAUGUGUAGUGAUGUACCGAACGGUUCGCUGGCGAACGGUUCCUGGCGAACAUAGCAUGUUCGCGUUCGCCACGGCGGGCGAACCUAUGCGCGGUUCGACCCGCCCCCUAUUCGUCAUCAUUGAGUAAACUUUGACCCUGUACCUCACAGUCAGCAGACACAUUCCAGCCAAUUAGCAGCACAGCCUCCCUAGCAGACCCUCCCACCUACUGGACAGCAUCCAUUUUAGAUUCAUUCUCAAGCUGCAUGCUUAGUAAGAGGAGGGAAAGUGUAGCUGCUGUUCAUAAGAUAGGGAAAAGCAUAGCUAGGUUAGGGAUAAGGGUAUGCUUUUUUUUUAUUUUUUUUUUCUAUGUAAUGUAAAUGCACUUAGUUGUCUGCCACUGCUGCCAGCUUCUGUGUCAGGCUCACAGUGCCCAUUUCCCCAGUCAGUGCCACCAAUUACAUCUGGUGUCACAAUAGCUUGGAUUUAAAAACAAAAAACUUUUUUCACUGUUAUAGAUUGAAUAGCAGUCAGUUGUCUGCCACUGCUGCCAGCUUCUGUGUCAGGCUCACAGUGCAUACUGUGCCCAUUUCCCCAGUCAGUGCCACCAAUUACAUCUGGUGUCACAAUAGCUUGGAUUUAAAAACAAAAAACUUUUUUCACUGUUAUAGAUUGAAUAGCAGUCAGUUGUCUGCCAUUGCUGCCAGCUUCUGUGUCAGGCUCACAGUGCAUACUGUGCCCAUUUCCCCAGUCAGUGCCACCACAGCUUGGAUUUAAAAACAAAAAACUUUUUUCACUGUUAUAGAUUGAAUAGCAGUCAGUGUCCUUAAAGCGGGUGUGUUACGCUAACAGUGGAUACGCUGACAAGUGCCACUAAUUAGAUCUGGUGUCACAAUAGCUUGGAUUUAAAAACAAAAAACUUUUUACUGUUAUAGAUUGAAUAGCAGUCAGUGUCCUUAAAGCGGGUGUGUUACGCUAACAGUGGAUACGCUGACAAGUGCCACUAAUUAGAUCCUGUGUCACAAUAGCUUGGAUGUAAAAACAAAAAACUUUUUUUACUGAUAUAGAUUGAAUAGCAGUCAGUGUCCUUAAAGCGGGUGUGUUACGCUAACAGUGGAUACGCUGACAAGUGCCACUAAUUAGAUCUGGUAUCACAAUAGUUUGGAUUUAAAAACAAAAAACUUUUUUUACUGUUAUAGAUUGAAUAGCAGUCAGUGUCCUUAAAGCGGGUGUGUACGCUAACAGUGGAUACGNNNNNNNNNNNNNNNNNNNNNNNNNNNNNNNNNNNNNNNNNNNNNNNNNNNNNNNNNNNNNNNNNNNNNNNNNNNNNNNNNNNNNNNNNNNNNNNNNNNNUACAGGCGGAGGUUUAGAGAAACCAACAAGCUGGUUGGGGACUCUUAUGUGGAAUGGGCCUGCAGAGUCCAUCGUACCGCAGCUCACUGGAUGGCUGGAUGCCAAGCGGUAACUGGGGAGGAGGUGUUACAAGUGUUCCUGCUGGAGCACUGCUUUGAUAGACUACCUGCUGGGGUCCGGGAAUGGGUCAGAGACAGAAAACCCUCUACCCUACCCGAGGCUGCCCGUCUGGCGGACGAAUACACGGAUGCCCGCAAGUUGGAUGGUACAGCUGCUAAAGCCCCUGCCAGACUGGAGUAUCGACCAGCAGUAACACCCGCUCCUGCAGUCUACCAACCCCCAGCACACCGUACCCCAGCUGCACCACCAGCUAACAAUUAUAUGCAACCAGCCCGAUUUAAUGCCCGGGAGUACUCCCAACCCAUCCGGUGCUAUGGAUGCAAGCAGUUGGGGCACAAGCGUCCUGAGUGCCCCCUGAACAGUGCCAACCAGGCUCAGUCCUGGAGGAGACCAGUUAACGGAAACCAGCGCCCACCUCAGCCUGCGGCUCACUGCCUAGAGCAGGAGGAAUUUUGGGGCAUUCUGCACGAGGCAGACCCAGUGCAAGCGGCUCACCAGGAUAAUCGCCAGCAACAUCGGCAAACUGUGAAGCUAAAUGGCAGAGUGGUAAAUGGGCUGAGAGACACAGGAGCCACGAUGACACUGCUCCAAAAGAACUUGGUCUCAGAGCAUCAACACACUGGAGACACUGUGGCAGUAAGGGUAGCAGGGGGUGCCGUGUUUCGCUUACCUGUUGCCCGAGUACAUUUGGAUUGGGGAGUGGGCGCUAGGCAUGUGGAUGUGGGGGUGAUGAAGGAUUUGCCCGCAGAUGUUCUUUUGGGAAACGAUUUGGCCCCUUUGGUUUCAGCAUAUGCUCCGAUGGGCCCUGCAGACGUGAACCCAGUGACCACCCGUGCCCAGACCCGUGCUGCCGGAACCAGCCCGCUUGCUGACGAGACCCAGGUAAGAUCUCCUUCCCCGACUGAUACCCCAGAUCAGGUCCCCUUGAGCUGGGAUUCCCCAGAGGAGUUUGGGAGGGAAACCCGGGCGGAUCCGACCCUCCAAAGAUACAAGGACAGGGCAGAGGCUGGGGAGGAAGGAAUAGAUGGGGAACGGUAUGAGUGGGUGGGGGACAGGUUAUAUAGGAUCCCUAAACCUUCCCAGAAGAUUUGGCCUCUCCGCCAAAUCGCCAGUUAGUGGUACCUGCAAAGUACCGGCAGGAGAUUCUGCGGAUAGGGCAUGAUGUUCCUUUAGCUGGACAUCUAGGGUCCCACCGCACAGCCUAUAGGAUUUCACAGAACUUCUUUUGGCCAAACUUUAACCAGGCUGUGCGGAUGUACUGCAGCACGUGUGACACAUGUCAACGGGUAGGAAAGCGGGGGGACCACCCUAAGGCUAGGCUAUUAUCGAUGCCUAUUAUAGGGGAGCCCUUUGCCCGCAUAGCCGUUGACAUCGUGGGUCCACUGACCAGGGCUAGUCCAUCAGGGAAGAAAUACGUUCUUACCGUGGUGGACUAUGCCACCCGCUAUCCAGAGGCAGUAGCGCUGUCUAACAUAGAGGCAGAGACGGUUGUUGAUGCCCUGGUUAGAAUUUUUACUAGGGUCGGGUUCCCUAAGGAGAUUCUCUCCGACCAGGGAACCCAAUUCACCGCUGUGCUCACCCAGCAGCUGUGGAAGGUGUGUGGCAUUAAGCCGUUACUUAGCUCACCCUACCACCCACAGACUAACGGUCUCUACGAGCACUUUAACGGUACCCUCAAACAGAUGCUGAGGACCUUUACAGACACUUGCAGAGACUGGGAGAGAUUCCUGCCUCAUCUAUUAUUUUCUUAUAGAGAGGUGCCCCAGGAAUCUACUGGGUUCUCCCCCUUUGAGCUGCUGUAUGGGAGAAGGGUCCGCGGACCCCUAGAUCUCAUUAGAGGCCACUGGGAGGGGGAGACGGAGCAGGAAGGGACCCCCAUAGCGCCAUAUGUUCUGGAACUCCGGGACCGCAUGGAGAAACUGUCCCUGAUGGUAAGGGAGAAUCUCCAGGCGGCCCAGGGGAGACAGAAGAGAUGGUACGAUCAGGGUGCCCGACAGCGGGUCUUCCAGGUUGGGCAAAAGGUAUUGGUGCUUAAACCCGUGAAGGCCAACAAGAUGCAAGCAUCUUGGCAGGGCCCGUACAAGGUAGUGGCGCAGAUCUGCAACACUACUUACUUGAUAGCCAGCUGUGCAGAUGAGAGGAUCCAGCGGUCCUUUCAUGUGAACAUGCUGAAAGAGUACCAGGAGAGACCUGAGAAUAUUGCAGCAGUAUGUGCCCCAGCCGCAGAUGAUUCUGAGAAUUUACCCCUUCCAGAUCUAUUAGAAAGGGAUUCACAGACUGACCUUACUACCUUGGUACAGCUAGGGGACCGGUUGAACCCCACAGAAAGGGUACAGGCGCAGCAGUUGUUAUGGGAGAAGCAGGUGACGUUCUCCCAGGAACCAGGUUAUACCACCCUAGCUGUGCAUAAGGUAGAGACCCCUGGACAGACCCCGUUACGACAGCCCCCCUACCGUAUCCCUGAAGCAGUCCAUGAAGGAAUGCGGAAGGAGAUACAGGAGAUGACCCAGCUUGGGGUUAUAGAGCACUCCGACAGCCCUUGGGCCUCACCUGUAGUCCUGGUGCCAAAGAAAGAUGGGACCACCCGGUUCUGUGUGGACUACAGGCGACUCAACGAGCGGACCACCACUGACGCCUACCCAAUGCCCCGGGUAGACGAAUUACUAGAUCGUAUUGCCAGGGGGCGAUAUCUGACCACCAUAGACCUGUGUAAGGGCUACUGGCAGAUCCCCCUGGCCGAGGAUGCUAUCCUCAAGUCGGCAUUUGUCACCCCAUUUGGCCUGUACCAAUUUAAGGUCAUGCCUUUUGGGAUGAAAAAUGCACCGGCUACUUUCCAACGGAUGGUGGAUAGACUCCUGGAUGGCUUCCAAGAAUUUGCCUGUGCAUACUUGGACGACAUUGCGAUCUACAGUGGGUCCUGGGAGGAACACCUGGUACAUGUAGGGGUAGUGCUGGAUAAGAUUAGGGCCGCUGGCCUGACGUUGAAGCCAGAAAAGUGUCAUCUAGGUAUGGCUGAAGUGCAGUACCUAGGUCACAGAGUGGGGUGUGGGAGCCAGAGACCAGAGCCAGCCAAGGUAGAAGCAGUGGCUAACUGGCCCACACCUACUACUAAGACCCAGGUAUUGGCCUUCUUGGGGACGGCAGGGUACUACAGACGUUUUGUCCCUGACUACAGCACUAUUGCUAAGCCCCUGACAGACCUGACUAAGAAGAACUUGCCUAAGCAGGUCCUGUGGUCUCCGGCUUGUGAAGCUGCAUUCCAGGCACUGAAGCAGGCUCUUGUGAAUGCCCCUGUCUUGGCUGCCCCAGUCCCUAACAAACGCUUUCUCGCCCAUACAGAUGCUUCCAUGUAUGGACUGGGGGCUGUGCUGAGCCAAGUCGGGGAAGAUGGAGGAGAGCACCCUGUCGCAUAUCUCAGCAGAAAGUUGUUACCCAGAGAAGUGAGUUAUGUGGCAGUGGAGAAGGAAUGCUUGGCCUUGGUCUGGGCCUUGAAAAAGUUAAGCCCCUAUUUGUAUGGGCAAGAGUUUUCCCUUGUGACUGAUCACAACCCACUCGUUUGGCUUAACCGGGUCUCAGGAGACAAUGGGAGACUGCUGAGAUGGAGCUUGGCAAUACAGCCCUACAAUUUUACCAUCAGCUACAGACCCGGUAAGCUAAACGGAAACGCAGAUGGGUUGUCACGACAAACAGACGUUUCCAUCACCUCGUAGUCCGGUCAUCCCCAAGUUGACCCGCCACAGUGUCAAGCCGGGUCUGCCGGAGUGUCCCACAAGGAGGGAGCCGUGUGACAGAACCAUCUGUCUGCUGGAUUUUUGCCCGUUCGUCUGUUUGUCCCCGUUCGUAUGAAUGGCUGGUUUCUAUAGCCCAGCCAUUCGAAUGACUAUUUUUCCCGAACAAAACCGCCGAACGAACGGCCACCCAAGUGAGGAGUGUGCUGCAGGUUAACGAAGUGAUCACCAUUAUAACGUUGUGGUUAACCGCAGACACUUCUCAAUUAAACCUAACUCAGGGUGGUCGUCGUUCGUAUGUCGACCACGAGGCAGCGGCCAUUUUAAAUCAUGCGAACGCUCAGCGGUGUUUGGCUCUAUUUCCAUGGAACGGAAAACGGACACUUUUUCUGUCGAACACCGCUGAAACAAGGGAACGCCUGGCUGCCUCCACGAAAGCAUGCGAACAUCGGCCGUUCGGGAGAUUGAGAAUACACAAAAGACUUAACCCAGAUAGCCCACCCAUGGAGUCAUUCGUGUACCGAAGGACUGUAAGAACUUUGACUCCAUGGCGAUUGAACUAUGUGUGUGGGAUCUGAGCGCUAUUCGCCAAUAAUAUGCACUCAGAUCCAGGCUAUCUGGGGACAUGUAAUACGAAUGGGAAAUGUUCAGUCUUCAUGUAGUUAUGCAUUUUUGUGUCUUUUAUUAUUUCAUGUUUAAGAUGGCGACUGUCCUUGUCCUGGAGUUAAUUGAGUUACUUGGUAAUUAACUCCAGGACAGAGGGGAGGGAAUCAGAAUGUACUGUGGGUAAAAUAUGUGACUGUGUGUCAGAAAUGUCCUGCUAUCUGUCUGUACUUUAAGUCUUCCAUUUGGUCCCCUAGGGGAGUGUCCACCAGGUGGGAGACCUGCAUAAAUACGGGCAGGUAGCCCACAGUAAACCCAGAUCUUAUUUGACCCUCAAUGCGGAGCUUCUGUCUCGUUAUUGGGGGGAUUUCUUCUUCACGUUUAGAGACUGCUGGAUGGAACGAAAGCCGCUUUGGGGAUAUUAUUGUUCGACGGUUCCUAGCAGUUCGUAUAGUGCCGUUCGGGAGUUUGGAGCCGUUCGUGGAUUUCGAUCGGGAGAUUGCCGCUUCCCCUGCAUUUGGUUCGUGGGUUACAGAGUAAUCGAACAGAGACUGUACUGCAGCCGGGGAAGGUUUACUAAACGGCGGUUUGACUUAAAGACACGGGAGGUGUCUUAACAUCUGCCUGACACCAUGACAUGUUGUACUUACAUCCCAGAAAACACAGGCCCCAAUGGUAAAGUAACCUUAGCUAUAGGAAAAUUGAAAGAGCUCUCUGAGGAGCUAAAGAGGAACUCUGGGAUAAAAGAUCCCUGGGAGAGAUGGUUUGGUUGGAUGACAGGAUGGCAAAAAGCUUUGAUGCAUAUUGGUAUAGCAAUACUAAUUUUCCUUUUUAUCUUUGCUCUUCUCGUUUGUUGUGUCCUCCCUUGUCUGAGAAAGCUCCUCUUGAAUACUGUAGACCAAGCGGCACCCACUUACGCACACCUCACAGUUGAUGACCAAGAUUUCCAAAAAGUCAACUCGCCCUGUAUACCGCUACAAUCUAUCCCGUUUAUUGAUAAAGUGCAAGAGUUCUAGGAAGGGACCAGCUUAGGGACAGCAUCUGUCUGUCUGGGAAGUCUACCGUGCGGAGAUGUGGUGGGUUAGCCACCUCGGGAUACCCAUGGAGUGAAGUGUUCGAGUGCCCAGCGGACAGAUGAGUUAGCCAAUUAGGGACAGACGAAGGGACAGCUUUGCACUUUGCAAUAACACCUAGCUAGCGGGUCACGGGGUUUCUGUGCCUUUGGGCUAACACGUCUUCUGAUACUAACAAAUAAAGAUUAUCUUUUAGAAUCUAACAUUUCAUAGGGGGGACUGAUGUAGAAUUAUUAAAAUCUUUAUUAGAACCUGUAUUGAAUUAUUGUACUAACUCCAUUUUGUUCACCUUACAUGACAGAAUUUCCUGACAGUAUUCAGUAUAAUGAAUAAGAGAUUGUAUUCUCUCUCUCUAAGGACAUAACUAGCCCCGGAGUUAGCGGAUCUCCGUUGACUUGCAACAUAGUAUAAUCCAAGGCCAGGAGAACAGUGACAAAAUGAAAUGUUCUAUUCAUAAAAGAACCUUGGAACAGACCACGAGACUGACAUCACUAACUACGUAAAAUGACGCCCAAGCCCCCCUUUCCACCGAGUAAGCCUCGUGCUAAAGAGCAAUGGCGACGACAUCCCAUGAUGGGAGGGUGCCUCACUAGUCACUCAAAUCUCUGAGCCAAUUAAUAAUAUUAAUGGGUGGACACUGACAUAGCCACUUAACAUUUAACCCAAUUAAUGAUGUUUAUUUGUUAUUAUCUGAUAUUCAAUGAUGAUGUCAUUUUGCAUAUAAAAAGGCCUGCGUGCCCACUUUUUAACUAGAUGCUAAUAAAUUUCCUGAAGUGUUUUUAACCUGAACUGCAUGUGUCAGUGUGAACUUACUUCUGCGUAUACGCAAUUUAUUCAUCUCAGAUUUGGACAGGAACAGAUAGACUUUUAAACAUUUUUGUUUAUUUCUAAAUUAAUCUACAUCAGCGGCGUAGCCUACUUCCCUUGGUAGUAAUUUUCUGCUUAAGUAAGCUACGGGAUGUUCUCCGCCAUCAGCUCCCACUUGGCUCAGUACUGCCCCCAAUCCAAACAUGGAAGCGUCUGUGUGAACAAGAAAUCGUUUAGUUGGAUCAGGGGCAGUUAACACAGGAGCCUUAGUUAAUGCAGUUUUUAGUUCAUGGAAUGCCUGUUCACACUCUGGGGCCCAGUUGACCUGUCGUGGCAAGUUUUUCUUGGUCAAGGGGUUUGGCCAGGGCGCUGUAAUUGGGCACAAAUUUUCUGUAGUAACCAGCGGUACCAAGGAACGCCAAUACUUGUGUCUUUGUCCUGGGGGUAGGCCACUUAGCUACUGCCUCUAUCUUGGCCGGUUCGGGCCUCUGCUGUCCGCAUCCUACCCUGUGACCCAGGUACUGCACCUCUGCCAUCCCUAUGUGACACUUGCUAGGUUUUAGUGUCAGCCCUGCCUCUCCAAUACGGCCAAUGACCACACUAAUAUGUUUCAAAUGAUCUGCCCAGGUCUGGCUAUAAAUGGCUAUAUCAUCUAAGUACGCACAGGCGUACUCUUGGAACCCGUCCAGUAGCCGAUCUACCAUCCUCUGAAAGGUAGCCGGAGCCUUUUUCAUCCCGAAAGGCAUGACCCGAAAUUGAUACAGGCCAAACGGGGUGACAAACGCCGACUUGGGGAUGGCCUCCUCGGCUAGUGGAAUCUGCCAGUAUCCCGUCCAGUAGCCGAUCUACCAUCCUCUGAAAGGUAGCCGGAGCGUUUUUCAUCCCGAAAGGCAUGACCCGAAAUUGAUACAGGCCAAACGGGGUGACAAACGCCGACUUGGGGAUGGCCUCCUCGGCUAGUGGAAUCUGCCAGUAUCCCUUACACAGAUCAAUGGUAGUGAGAUACUGGCCUCUUGCCAUCCUAUCUAGCAGCUCGUCUAUACGGGGCAUCGGGUAGGCGUCAGACACUGUUUUGUCAUUGAGCCUCCGGUAGUCUACACAAAACCGCGUGGUGCCAUCCUUCUUGGGUACUAGCACUACCGGUGAUGCCCAGGGGCUAUCUGAAUGUUCGAUAACCCCUAACUGCAACAUUUCCUCAAUUUCUUUCCUCAUGUGCUCCCUUACUGCUUCAGGGAUACGAUACGGAGUCUGUCUCAUAGGGAGCUGUCCUGGGGUCUCUACUCGGUGGGUAGCUAACAGAGUGUACCCUGGUAAAUUGGAGAAGGUAGCACCUUUUGCCGCAAUCAACUCCUGUACCUGGGCACGCUCCUGGAGACUUAGCCGCUCCCCCAGCUGCACACCUGUAGCGUUUUCUGCAGAAUCUUCCUUUUCUAACAUGUCUGGCAAGGGCAGAUUCUCAUAAUCCUCAGUGGCUGGGGCACAGAUGGCUGCUACCUCCUCUAUUCUCUGGUGAUAGGGUUUGAGCAUGUUCACAUGGAGCAUGCGUCGUUUCCCUACCCCAGAGCACGGGCCGAUCACAUAAGUGGUGUCACAUCUCUGUUCUACCACUUGGUAUGGGCCCUGCCAGGUGGCCUGUAGCUUGUCUGUGCGGACAGGUUUCAAAAUUAGAACUUUCUGUCCCACCUGAAAGCUACGGUCUCUGGCUCCCCUAUCGUACCACCGGCGCUGUCGCCGCUGAGCCGCCCGGAGGUUCUCCCGUACGGUUUGGGUUAGAGCCUCCAAGCGGUCCCGGAACUCCAGCACGUAUGGCACAAUGGGGACUCCAUCUGCACUGCUCCCCCCCUCCCAAUGUUCUCUAAUUAAGUCUAGGGGUCCCCUCACCCUUCUCCCAAACAAUAACUCAAACGGAGAGAAGCCGGUAGAUUCCUGUGGCACUUCUCGGUACGCAAAAAGCAGAUGGGGUAAAAACCUCUCCCAGUCUUUAUGGGACUCCCCAAAUGUCCUGAGCAUCUGCUUCAAGGUACCGUUAAAGCGCUCACACAACCCAUUGGACUGCGGGUGAUAGGCAGAAUUUACAAUUGGCUUAAUGCCACAUAACUUCCAUAGCUGGUGGGUCACUUCGGCUGUAAAUUGGGUCCCCCUAUCCGAAAUUAUCUCUUGGGGAAAUCCCAUCCUGGAAAAUAUCUUCAUCAUAGCUUCGGCUACCGUUUCUGCUUGUAUAUUGGAAAGGGCUAUAGCCUCCGGGUACCGGGUGGCAUAAUCUACAAUGGUCAGAAUAUACCGCUUGCCGGAAGGGCUAGGCUUGGACAGUGGUCCUACUAUAUCCACUGCUACUCUGCUAAAGGGUUCUUCAAUAAUGGGAAGGGGGCACAAUUUCGCUUUGUGGCGGUCACCCCUUUUUCCCACUCUCUGACAAAUGUCACAUGUCUGACAAUACUGUCUCACAUCUCUAGAUAUACCUGGCCAGAAAAAUGCAUGUGUCAAUCUGUACCUCGUUCUUGUCAUCCCUAAAUGCCCAGACAGCGGAAUAUCGUGGGCAAUUCUAAGCAGUUCCUGCCGGUAUUUCUGGGGAACUAUAAGCUGCUUAUUAGUCACAUGUACAGACCCCCUACCACCCGCUCAGCAACACGAUAUAACAGAUUUUUCUCCCAUACAUACUGUUCUCCCUCUAAACCUGUCUGACCAGCUGUCGCCUUAUCCUUAUAAAUUUGCAACGUGGGAUCGUUUUUAACCUCUGCCUCAAAGUCAGUCGGGGUAUCCCAGGAAACACGGGUUACACGGGGUACAUUGUCUCUUACCUGAGCCUCAGAGUGUGUGGAAGAUGAAGCCGUGGUGCGAGCCUGCUGACGGGUGGUCACUGGAUAUGCCUCAUGGCGAGGACUUUGGGGCACAAAAGCGGAAGUCAUUUGCCCCAGGUCAUUCCCCAAAACAACAUCAGCUGGUAACUUGUGCAUCAGCCCCACCUCCACCAUACCUUCCCCCGCACCCCAAUUCAGAUGUACCUUGGCAGUUGGUAGCCGGUACAUGGCACCCCCUGCUACCCGGACUGCUACCGAUCCCCCGGUAUGUGCUGAUCCUGACACCAAAUGCGGGGCAACCAAAGUUAAGGUAGCGCCGGAAUCACGUAGCCCCUGUACCUCUUUCCCUUCCAGAGUCACGGUCUGGCAAUGUGGUUGUCGGUUGUCAGUAGCAUGGAUGGACAUUACAUCGUGCAAAACGCCCAGGGGUUCAUCAGCCGACUCAAGCGGCACUCCUGGCAAAGUUGGCUCUGCAUGAUAAUAAUGAGCAGCUGCCCGCGGGGCCAUAUUCUGCUGGAGCUGAUUCCAGUUCUUGCGGCUCCGGUUUUGGGUGCACUCCCGGGCCAUGUGCCCCCAUUGCUUACAGGCAUGGCACUGGAUGUUGGACCUGCCAUUAUAACGGGAGUGGGGAGGUUGUCCCACAAGUGCUGGUCUGGAUGGUGCUGUCGCUGGGGCAGGAGCAAUAACUGGAAACGGUUGCGGGUUGGGUUUUGCAUACCCUCGGUUAUUAUUUUUAUGAUGCCUCCUAGAAUCAUAAUGUUGGUUGGCCCAUCGUGCCGCUUCGGUUAGGGUGUGAGGAUUUCGGUCAUUCACCCAUUCUUGAGCCUCUGGUGCCAGGCCAUUACAAAACUGCUCCAGUAGCAACAUCUGGCGUAACUCUUCCAUGGUGGUAGCUCUGCUGGCUUGUAUCCAGCCUUGUGAGGCUUGGUCAAGCUUGUGUGCCCACUCCGCAUGUGAGUCUUUGUCCCCUUUUUUCAAUUCUCGGAACUUGCGCCGGUAUGCCUCUGGGGUAAUGGCAUACCUUUCUAAUAGCGCCUGCUUUACCUUGUCAUAAUUCUUGCUGUCCUCUCUGGGUACAGCCCGGUAGGCGUCUGCUGCACGCCCAGACAGUUUGCCUGCCAACACAGGUACCCACAUAGCUUGCUCUACAUCAUGCAAGUCACACAAUCUUUCAAAAUCUUGCAAGAAUCCAUCUAUUUCGUCUUUAUCCUCGCAAAAAGUUUUAAAUGCAUGAUGUGGUAUUUUUGGCCUUCCCUGGCCCACAGUUGAAACAGCAGCGGUUUCUGCUUGAGGUGAGAAGGCUUGAUUCCUUUGCGCCAUCACGUACUCCUGUGCAUCCGCCGAAAUUAUGGUCAUAAUUUCUGGAGAUACUGGAGCGGGCCAAAAUGCCAAUCUUGUCCUCAUUUCUCGUUCAAAUGGGGUCUCCUCCAUGUUUGCUGGGGGUGUAGCACUACGAGCUCGGUCUCCUUCCAUUAGCUCGGCAAUAAGUCUUGCUUUAGGCUUAUUGCUGGCUAUCUUACCCCUGGCUUCCAACAGCUCCUUUAACGUUUGCUGUUUCAAUAUGGUGUAGUCCGUCCCCAUUCACUUCUGCAUCUGUAUCAAUUGCCUUCUGCUUUCCAGUAUGUCAAUUCCAAUUGUAUAAACAGUGUUUUUCCUGCUGUACGGUUGGAUCCCGCCGCUUUCCACCAAUUGUUGCGGAGCUGCAAUUUUAUAAUCCCAGGAUCUCUGCUGGUAGAAUGCAAUAACCAAGUACAAAGCUGGAAGCAGGCAAUAUUCCCAAAUCCUCCCAAGAACCAGACGAAACACAGUCUGAGAGUCAACUGCCACUUUAUUCAAAAAGACUGAUAUUUAAAGCAGGUCAACUGUCACAACUGAUAUUUAAAGCAGGUCACUCAACUGUCACUUUAUUAAAAAUAACUGAUAUUUAAAGCAGGUCACUCAACAGGGGUUUCCAAAGAUGGGCAGCAGGGGUUUUGGUUGAGGGGACUGGAGGGAGACUACCGUUUCCAGGUCCUCCUCCCAACAGCCCCUGCUGUAACAUACAGUAAUGAAAACUACGAGGACAUAAACCGUUACCUUUCUACUUCAAAAUAUACAACUUAGUCAGUUUUAAUAGCAAUGCUAACGAAUGGGGAGGAUUCGAACAGACAUACACAGUACAGCAUAAAUUAAACAUAGCCAGAGACGCCACACUAUACCGGCGCGCAGUACACAACAGAAAAUAGGCACAACCAUUCUAUCUUAGGCAGUCCCAAGUGGCUAGGUUUGCCACAGGUAAUGCUGGUAUACACCACAGUAUUCACAUAAUAAUUAAGUCACUAGUGUGUAUAAUAAUAAGGAGUAUCUAUACACUGAUAAUAAACAUGUCGCUCUGUAUAAUAAUACUGAGAAUCUAUACGCUGAUAAUAAACAUUUCACUCUGUAUAAUAAUACUUUGUAUCUAUAUGCUGAUAAUAAACAUGUCACUCUGUAUAAUAAUACUGAAUAUCUAUACACUGAUAAUAAACAGGUCGCUCUGUAUAAUGAUACUGAGUAUCUAUACGUUGAUAAUAAACAUGUUGCUCUGUAUAAUGAUUCUGAGUAUCUAUACGCUGAUAAUAAACAUGUCACUCUGUUUAAUAAUACUGAGUAUCUAUACGCUGAUAAUAAACAUGUCGCUCUGUAUAAUGAUUACGAGUACCUGUUAUGUUUGAUGAUACCUGACUUACAAUAACAUACCGUCUAUUAAUCAGCCAGGAUUUAUUGAUGACAAGUCACAUAUUAUGUUCGAUCCCUUUGUUGAUAUACACAUUCCUGCUGUAACAUACACCCAACAUGGCCGAACUCCAUACACACACUGCGAAGAGAGAGCAAAUCUAGGAGGUGUAUCUAUCCCAGCAUGCCUUGCACACUUACUACAGGAGCUGGUUAGAGAAAAACUGUGCAUUGUGCAAAGGGGGUGUAUCCAUGGUAGCGGGUAAUUCCUAUCCAGUAAUUGGUAAUUUUGAUGCCUGUUGGCACCCAAUGUUCAAAAUUCUGGGGAGAUUUUGGCCAUUAUUACUUCAAGAUCCCCAUAUACAGAAAUCAAUAGCACUUCAAGCUUCAGUAACAGCAAGGAAGGGACGUAAUAUUAAAGAUAUGUUAGUACCAAGUCAUUUGAAAUCCAUCUCACAUGGCUAAAAUCCCCAGUAUCUGGAACAUAUACUUCGUCCCUCAAAAAACUCUCAGACUCUAUAAAUUCAUUCGACUUCAAUGUCAAAACUUUUUUCAAUUGUCAGUCUAAAGGCCUUGUCUAUUUAUUAACAUGUUCAUGCAAAAAACAAUAUGUUGGUAAAACUAUCCAUGCAUUUAAAUGCAGGAUUCGUGAACAUGUAACCUCGGUUAAUCCGAGGAGACUAAUUGACACCCCUAUUUCAAAACACCUUUAAUCAUGGUGGUUCCACAGAAGGCAUACAAUUCUGCGGCAUAGGGAAGGUCUUGUGGCAAACCUAGCCACUUGGACUAUAACCAGAGACUGUACCUUUAAGGGUUGCCUGUAUGUCUGGGGAGAUAUGUGUUUAACUACGUAUAUUGUAUGCUGACUGUAAUGUAUUGAAUUGCCUGUUUUUGCUAUCCGCCGAAUGCAGAUAGCUGUUUGUAUGGGGUUUUCCUUUCGUUUCACGAACGGCACUUUGGAGGGCCGUUCGUGAACUGAAAACACUACCCCUAAUAGCCCACACACUUCGAGGCGUGUGGCGCAGGUUAACCGAUUGCAACAAUGUUGCAAUCGGUAAUUAGAGGCUCUCCUGGGUGGCCGUCGUUCGACUACCGACCAUGCGGCGGUCAGCCAUCUUGGAUCCUUUGUUCCCUCAGCGGUGCAAGGUCGUCGAGCGCAUGGUACUAAAAACGGCUACUCGACGGCACGAACACCGCUGAGCCUCCAGGACGUUCGGGAGUUCCAGGCCGUUCGGUAUUUUAUUCCCUGGAAGGCAAUCGGUCUUUUUAAUAUGUUUUCCAAUAAAUGUGUUUUUCGUGCGGCGUUCGGUUAUUUUAGCUGGGAUCUGAGCGGUAAUCUCACGAAUGAUGCGCUCAGACCCCAGCUAUCUACCGAACGUCCAUUCGUGCAAAUCAACAGUAUAUUCACUAGGAGGAGGAUCCCUCUCGUGCAGCAGUGCCUGAUGGGAGAAAUGUGUUGUACUGUAAGUUCCCCAUCUAGUCCCCUCUAGGAAUGCCCCUGGGAGGGGACUCAGGAAACCCCUUGCAUGGGGACUUGUAUAAAUUGUGANNNNNNNNNNNNNNNNNNNNNNNNNNNNNNNNNNNNNNNNNNNNNNNNNNNNNNNNNNNNNNNNNNNNNNNNNNNNNNNNNNNNNNNNNNNNNNNNNNNNACGAAAAAAAUAUAAAUAAUAAUAAAAUAAAAUUAAUAAUAUUUUGAAAAAAAUAAUAAUAAUAAAAUAGUAAUAAUAUAGCAAACAAAAAAAUAAUAAAAAUACCCACCCCCCACCAAGGCUCAGCAUUACAUACACAAACACACUCUGCAUCACACACACACACUGCACUCAUACAUACACAUACACACACACACACACACACCGCAUUCAUACAAACACUGCAUUAUAUACACACACACACACACACUGCAUUCAUUAUAUACACACACUGUAAAUACAUAUUCAAUUAAUAUAAUUUUAUUGGGAUCUAAUUUUAUUAAGAAAUUUACCAAUAGCUGCUGCAUUUCCCACCCUAGUCUUAUACUCGAGUCAAUACGUUUUCCCAGUUUUUGGGGGUAAAAUUAGGGGUCUCGACUUUUAUUCGGGUCUACUUAUACUCUAGUAUAUACGGGUAAGAUGUGAAUAGUAGAUUUGCUGAAAGAUGAAGUUAAAUGAGGCCGACAAAGAAUAAUCUGAGAAUAGAGACUGGUUGUGAGAUGCUGGAAUAUUGGGGACCGGAUAGAAACCAAUAAAGGAGAGAGACACACAAUGGAAUGAGAGGAAAAGUGAGAAAAUAAAGGUGUGCCUGGGGUAGGCUGAAAAAAGCCACGUCCUGGUGUUUACACUGUAAUUACAGAGAUCUGCUAUGGAAUAUUCCACUAUACUUUAUACAAAUAACAUAAUAUUAAUUAAUAUGACUUUGUUGCUAUGUUACUCCUAUUUAAACACGCAGGACCAUUUUCUUGUAGGGUUUUUGGUUAAUGAAUGUUAAUAAAUCAUUCUAAUAUAAUAUAAUGUUACUGACCAACAGAAACCAAAGAUACUUUAUUUAUUUAUUUAUUUAUUGACGGAAAAUGAAUUCAAUAUGUAUUCCUGUGUUAUAAACAUGACUCGGGCUAAUGAUUCCUGGAAAUAAAUUAUGGGAUGGAUGAUUCGCUGCCUAUUUACCAGAAUAUCCUGUUAGCAGGGCCAGUGCAAGUAUUUCUGCCGCCCUAGGCAAAGAUCCAUUUUGCCACCCCCUCAUGUCACUCACUCACUGACAGACACACACACACUCACUGACACACAUACACUCACUCACUGACACACACACACACACACACACAGAAACUCACUGACAGACAUACACUUACUCACUGACAGACAUACACACACACACAGAAACUCACUGACAGACAUACACUUACUCACUGACAGACAUACACACACACUCACUGACAGACACACACACACACAGACAUACACUCACACAGACACUCACUGACAGACAUACACACAAACUCACUGACAGACAUACACUCGCUCAGACACUCACUGACAGACAUACACUCACUCACACACACACACACACACACACACAGAAACUCACUAACAGACACACACACACACACAUACACUGACAGACAUACACUCACUCAGACACUCACUGACAGACAUACACUCACUGACAGACACACACAAACACUUACUGACAGACAUACACACACACUCACUGACAUACAUACACUCUCUCAAUGACAGACACAAUCACUCAAUGACAGACACACACACUCACUGACAGAAAUACACUCACUCAAUGACAGACACGCAUGUAGCGGAUGGUACUGUGGCUGUCCUUAAAGACUAUGAGAAUCCUUCAAUACGUGUGUUGUUUCUGCUUUGUAUUUAAUUGUAAGUAGCAUUUGUAUGAUUGUUCGGUAGUUUCCAUCUGUAUUUCAUACGAAUGGAAUCUACCGAACUAAUAGACCACCCCAGAGUGAAGCGUGUCCCUCGUUAAGCUGUAAAGUACUUGCUAACCGCAGACUAAUAGGUGGUUUAUGUAUGUAUCUGGGUGGCCACCAUUCGGCAUGCAAACACAUGGCAGCGGCCAUCUUACGAACAGGGGGAUUCGGUGGAAAGACAGGAACAAAUGGAGUUCCAGAGACAGCUACAAUUUAGGCUGUCUUUUUAUGGAGAAAAUCCACCAGCGGAAAUUAUUUCCAGGACAAUGACGGAGGUCCAGGAGUUCAUACUGAGGCAAAGGAUAACGACAGCCCCAGAACGCAGCACUGCAGUAAACAUGGCACAAGAGGGUAAGCCAAAAAUACCGUACCAAGCAUUCAAAAUGUAUGUAGAGCCAGAGGAAGAUGCAUUCCUUCAGGAUUUUGAAAGACUGUGUGCCUUGCAUAGGAUCAGUGCAGAAGACUGGGUUCCCAUUUUGGCUGGGCAUUUAACUGGGAGGGCAGCAGAAGUCUAUCGUACUGUACCAGACGAGGAAAUCAGGGAUUACAGUAGAGUGAAAGAAGUUAUACUGGCCCGGUAUGCUAUAACACCAGAGGCAUACCGGAGGCGGUUCAGGGACUUAAAGAAAGCUGAGAAAGACUCGCAUGCUGAGUGGGCUUGCAGAUUACAGCGGACGGCCCUCGGGUGGGUGCAAGCUAGUAAAGCACGGUCCAUGGAGGACGUAAUACAAAUGCUACUGAUGGAACAAUUUUAUGAUGGGUACUGACCGAUGUCCAAGAAUGGGUAAGGGACCGUAACCCUACAUCCCUCACAGAGGCUGCUAGGAAAGCAGACGACUACCUGGAUGCACACAGGCAACAGAAACCAGUAGUCCCAAAGACCACAGUAAAAACCUUUGGGGGAACAAACUACCCCACAGUUCCACCGCGACAACUACCACCUGCUGCACAACCACGAUUCCGUCAGCCUAGCUCUGGGCCCUGUUACCACUGCCAGAAAUGGGGGCAUUAUAAACGAGAAUGCCCACAACUACGGGAUCGAUCCACCUGGAUCCGACCAGGACCACCACCACCACCGAGAGCAGCCGCAGCCCACUACUACCAGGACGUAAUCCCAACACUAUAUGGUUCAGCAGUUCCCAUUACCACCGUGGAACAAUGGGAAGUACUGCACGAGGCGUACCCUGUACAGGCCAACGCGGAUAACCGCCAACAUCACAGACAGACCGUAUAUCUAGAGGGUAAAGCUGUGCAAGGGCUCCGUGACUCAGGAGCCACUAUAACUUUGGUCAAAAGCCACCUGGUCUCGGACAAAGCUAAAACCAGCAAGACCGUAGCCAUCAGGGUAGCCGGGGGAGCAGUAUACCAGCUACCUACAGCAAUGGUUCACCUACAUUGGGGAGCAGGGUCAGGAGAGGUGGAGGUGAUGCCGCAAUUGCCAGCGGAAGUUUUGCUGGGCAAUGAUCUGGGAAGGCUCACGUCCGCUUUUUAGCCCCAGACCGCAAUCACAGGAGAAGCCCAUCCUGUGGUCACCAGACAACAGGCCCGCACCCAGGUCCAACACACACUGCCGGAGGUUCAGGUAAGAGAUCCUUCCUCUUCAGUAGAUUGUGUCCCCUGGGCCCCUCCUAAUGAAUUUGCAGCAGAGGUGAUAACUGAUCCCACGUUACAAGUAUAUAGGGACAAGUUCACAGCAGACCCACCCGGGGGGGAGGGCGAGAGGUUUAUCUGGGAUAAGCAGCUUUUAUACAGGGAGUCUGACAAGCAGAUAGCCGGGUCAGACCCGAUAGUUAUGAGGCAGCUAGUGGUACAGCAGCGGUAGCGAGCGGAGUUACUCCGGAUAGCGCACGAUAUUCCACUAUCCGGACACUUAGGGGUCAGUCGGACCAGGUACAGACUAACCCAAAGUUUCUUUUGGCCAGGGAUCAGCCAGGAAGUGCACCAAUAUUGCAGCACUUGCGAUACGUGCCAGAGGGUAGGAAAAAGGGGUGACCGGCGCAAGGCCAAGCUACAUCCACUGCCCAUAAUUGAGGAGCCGUUUAGCAGAGUGGCUGUGGAUUUAAUAGGACCCCUCCAGAAAGCUAGCCUUUCAGGAAAGAAAUAUAUCCUGACUGUUGUGGACUAUGCCACUAGAUAUCCAGAGGCGGUGGCUCUAAUAUUCACGCUGAAACGGUAGUUGAGGCCCUCAUGCAGAUCUUCUCCAGGAUGGGAUUACCAAAGGAGAUCAUCUCGGAUCAGGGUACUCAAUUCACAGCAGAAGUCACCCAACGCCUCUGGAAGUUCUGUGACAUUAAGCCAAUCAUUAGUGCCCCUUACCACCCCCAGACUAAAGGGCUCUGCGAACGAUUCAACGGUACAUUGAAACAAAUGCUCCGAACCUUCGCAGAGACCCACAAGGACUGCGAGCGAUUCCUGCCUCACCACCUCUUUGCUUACCGGGAGGUGCAGGAGUCCACUGGGUUUUCCCCGUUCGAAUUGUUAUUCGGGAGAAGGGUACGGGGGCCACUAGACUUGAUUAGAGAGCAUUGGGAGGGAGAACGGAGCACCGACGGCACCCCCAUCAUACCAUAUGUGUUGGCAUUCCGAGACCGCCUGGAAGCAUUGACUAGGACGGUAAGGGAAAACCUUCAGGCGGCUCAGACCCGCCAACGCACAUGGUAUGAUCGGGGCGCCAGGGACCGUAGCUUUCAGGUCGGACAGAAAGUGUUAAUUUUAAAACCUGUCCGUCAUGAUAAGUUACAGGCCGCCUGGCAGGGCCCUUAUAGGGUGGUGGAACAGAGAUGUGACACCACUUAUAUAAUCGGUGUGGCGAAACCAACCUCGCCACUGUGAACUGGAGAAGCCUGGUUGCUCGCCUGCUCCCUUUAGACUAUGGCCCUGCAGGUUAAACCGUUUAUUUCCCCUGCAGAAAUAAUUGAAUUACUCUCCAGGAUAGAAGACUCUGAAACUGGUUUGGGCCAGAAAGCCAUGCUUCAUUUAGUCACAAAGGACUUUCCCUUAACUUUUGAACCCCUGGUCUGAUUCGUACCAUUUUUUAAUAUGUUCCCCUGAAUGGAUUGAUUAUGAAAAUGUAUGUUUUAUGUUUGUGACAUGUAUAUUUUAGAAGUUAGAAAUAUUGUAUAAAAACUGUAUUCCUCUGCCGGUGAUAAUGAGAUUACCCAUUGUGUUCAGUAAUCAUAUCACCUGCAGAGGGGAGGAUUUUGUGUGGGAGUGUCUGGGUGUAUUGUAAGGAUUGAUUGGUUGUUUUGUAACGCCCUGUGGGCUGUACUAUGUUUGUGGAUUGGGAAUAAAAGAGACUGUAUGUGACAGUACAGGGAGUUCCUGUUUUAACCCCCAAAGUGAAGUGUCGUCUCAUUAUUGGGGGAAGGAUUUAUUGUAUGCUGUUCCAGUUUGACUGCUAGGAGAGUAAACCUAUUCGUAUGGUUCCUAUUCAACUGUCUACAGCAUUCAUAUGUUUGAGAGGAUUCAUAUGCUUCUCCGGUUCGGUGGUUGUGGUGUCUGCUGCAGUGCUUGGAGUCCUCAGGAAGCGCUAGGAGCAUCCUUUAACGGAGGUACCCAGUCGGGGUGCCAGGUGAUCCGUUACAUUGGUGGCAAGCGGUGGGAUGGCGUCCUAGUGCGAGGUAAAAGCAGCUCAGAGACACAGUUCGUGGAUUUACAAAUUGAAGGCGACGCUAGUGUUCAUACAGCGUCCCUGUCUACAUAAAGAUUUGUGAAAACCAGCACUACUUCAGAGAUGGAAGGCCGUGCAGUAUCUCACUUUGACGCCAGGCUCCAGCAGCGACUACAGGAUGUGAUGCGCAGUAUGGAGUAUCCUAUCCCAGAGGAAAGAGAGACAGAGUGGAGGGUGGCGCUUCGUACCGAUCUCUGGAAGGAGGACAUCGACGAAAUUCGACCCUUCCGGUGUGAGGAAAUCCUGACCACUAACCAGCGCCAAGCAGAACAACUAGAGCUGCGGAUGCCGUUAUUGGGAAACCAGCCCUCAGAGGAAUGGGUAAGCGAACUGGAGAUGCUAGUUGAGACUGAGGUGUGGCUGGAUGAUUCCUAUCGGGCCCUGCGGUGGCAUGUUUACCACCUCUACCCAUGGCUGAUUGAGUACAAGUGUAUUGAGGGGGAAGACUACGACGGCCCUGGUUUGUUGUGGGAUACUAUUGAAACUAGUCUCUGGUUCGGAGACACCGACAUUGCUCGCUUCUGGUCCAUCCGAGCUGAGCGGGCAGACAACUGGGACCUUACAGAGAUCGAUGCCAUUCAGCUAGAUCUAUCUUUUCUUGCCAACCGAGAGUGGGAACUAGAACAGGAUUAUGUUUGCCUAUUCCAACGUAUAACGCCGCCUGUCUUUGACAUGAUGGGGCUUAUUGACUGUAUACCACCACAAGCAUUGAGUUUAGUUCCUCCUCCCCAGCAACCAAGCCUGUUAUCAGGAGACUUUGGUACUGUACCACAUAUGUCCCAACCAGCCGCAGAGAUGGAAGACCUUAUUGACUUGUCCUGGGAAGACACCCAGCUGGCAGGUGGGGAUGGGACCGAGGUCUCUCUACAGGCCCUACAGGGAUGCUGGGCAGUCAGCCCAGAUCCCCAGCGGCAGUAUGUAUCCCAGGGAGCUGAAGGUGCUGUACUUCCUCCCCAGCGGCAGUGUGUCCUGCAGGAAACGGAGACAGUCGGUCUCGCUCCCCAGCAGCAGUGCAAUAUAUUAAAAGGGGAGACAGUUGGUCCCCCUCUCCAACAGCAGAGAGUGUUCCAGGGAGAGGAACUGGUUAUCACCUCUCCCCAGCAACAGGACAAAUUAUUGAAAGGGGAGACAGUCGGUCUCCCCCUCCAACAGCAGAGAGAGUGUCAGGGAGAGGAGCUUGUUAUCACCUCUCCCCAGCGGCAGUGUGUAUCCCAGGGAGCUGAAGGUGCAGUCCUUCCUCCCCAGCGGCAGUGUGUACCCCAGGGAGCUGAAGGUGCAGUCCUUCCUCCCCAGCGGCUGAAGGUGCCGUCCUUCCUCCCCAGCGGCAGAGUGUCCUGCAGGGCGCAGAGACCGUCAGUCCCGCACCCCAACCACAGGACAAAAUAAUGAAAGGGGAGACAGCUGGUCCCCCUCUCCACCAGCAGAGAGAGUGUCAGGGAGAGGAGCCUGAUACCCCUUCCCCCCAGCGGCAGUUUACAGUUCAGAGAGAGG